rnacentral:lncRNA from 1 species
AGCAAACCUUGGGUCUUCCUGUUUAAAGUAAUUUACAAUACAUGCUUCAAUAUCAAAUUCAGGAAGGAAAACAUACAUUAUAAUUAAAAGUGAAGGAAAGUGACUACUGAGGUGUGUUCCUCUUAUGACAAAUUACAAUGACGCAAGAGGACAACACAAAUCACAUAAGCAUGUUUAAAGACUCUGCUCAUGUCCUAUCCUCCCACUAACAUUCCAUUGGCCAAAGCAAGCCUCAUGGCCAAAGUCAACAUUUAUAGGGCAAAAAAAUAUGCCCCACCCUCACUAGUGGGUGGUACUGAAAAACACAUGGGAAAUCCAUGGAUGCAACAGUCCCAGCAGUAUGUAAUCUGAAAGCAUCCAUUUUUAUGAAGAAGUGUACACAAAUUCAGGCUAAGGUGCUAUUAUAAAAUUGUAAGGGCUUCUUAAUCAAACCUGUGACACGGCAGGUAGAUUUAUUCUGACAAGGUAAUGAAUGAUACGGCUUUGGUGGGAGUGCCAGGUAAAACCAAUUAUCAUCAACUUGACAUGACAGGGUAUGAAAUGCCUCCCCGGACUCACCCUC